rnacentral:tRNA from 2 species
GCGCAGGCAGGUCUAAUGGUAGAACAUCACCCUUUGGAGGUGAGUAUCGGGGUUCGAAUCCCUGCCUCGCA